GAACAGCUUAGUGGUUGCCAGGCAUCAGGGCAAUGGAGAGGGAAGAAGGUGGUUGGCACUGGAAGGACAAUGGGAGGCAUCCUUGUGCAGAGGAAAGGGUCUGUAUGUUGAGUGCGCCGAGGUACUACAGCUGUCCAAGAUGCCACCGGUGGGGGAAAUAGGUUGACCUGAGUAUUCUGCCAACAGACUGACCUAGCAGGUCAGUCCCCAGGCCGGGCUCUACCCCUGGGAAUGGCACCCCUCCUCCAGAGGAAG
rnacentral:lncRNA from 1 species